rnacentral:rRNA from 1 species
CUUAGUAACGGCGAGUGAAGCGGUAAAAGCUCAAAUUUGAAAUCUGGUACUUUCAGUGCCCGAGUUGUAAUUUGUAGAAUUUGUCUUUGAUUAGGUCCUUGUCUAUGUUCCUUGGAACAGGACGUCAUAGAGGGUGAGAAUCCCGUUUGGCGAGGAUACCUUUUCUCUGUAAGACUUUUUCGAAGAGUCGAGUUGUUUGGGAAUGCAGCUCAAAGUGGGUGGUAAAUUCCAUCUAAAGCUAAAUAUUGGCGAGAGACCGAUAGCGAACAAGUACAGUGAUGGAAAGAUGAAAAGAACUUUGAAAAGAGAGUGAAAAAGUACGUGAAAUUGUUGAAAGGGAAGGGCAUUUGAUCAGACAUGGUGUUUUUUGCAUGCACUCGCCUCUCGUGGGCUUGGGCCUCUCAAAAAUUUCACUGGGCCAACAUCAAUUCUGGCAGCAGGAUAAAUCAUUAAGAAUGUAGCUACUUCGGUAGUGUUAUAGCUUUUUGGAAUACUGUUAGCCGGGAUUGAGGACUGCGCUUCGGCAAGGAUGUUGGCAUAAUGGUUAAAUGCCGCCCGUCUUGAAACACGGACCAUAAU